UCCGGUUUGUCACCGGCAGUCCCAUUAAAGUGCCCAACUGAAUGAUGGCAAUUAAUGGCAAGGGUUGCGCUCGUUGCGGGACUUAACCCAACAUCUCACGACACGAGCUGACGACAGCCAUGCAGCACCUGUGCUGCGGUUCCCUUUCGGGCACUCCCCCAUCUCUGGGGGAUUCCGCACAUGUCAAGGGUAGGUAAGGUUUUUCGCGUUGCAUCGAAUUAAUCCACAUAAUCCACCGCUUGUGCGGGUCCCCGUCAAUUCCUUUGAGUUUUAAUCUUGCGACCGUACUCCCCAGGCGGUCAACUUCACGCGUUAGCUGCGUUACCGAAUGAUUCCUCACCCGACAACUAGUUGACAUCGUUUAGGGCGUGGACUAC
rnacentral:misc_RNA from 1 species